UACGUAGGGUGCAAGCGUUGUCCGGAAUUAUUGGGCGUAAAGAGCUCGUAGGCGGUUUGUCGCGUCUGCUGUGAAAACUCGGGGCUUAACCCCGGGCCUGCAGUGGAUACGGGCAGGCUAGAAUUCGGUAGGGGAGACUGGAAUUCCUGGUGUAGCGGUGAAAUGCGCAGAUAUCAGGAGGAACACCGGUGGCGAAGGCGGGUCUCUGGGCCGAUAUUGACGCUGAGGAGCGAAAGCGUGGGGAGCGAACAGG
rnacentral:rRNA from 1 species